rnacentral:rRNA from 1 species
CCUACGGGUGGCAGCAGUGAGGAAUAUUGGUCAAUGGACGAGAGUCUGAACCAGCCAAGUCGCGUGAAGGAUGACUGCCCUAUGGGUUGUAAACUUCUUUUAUAUGGGAAUAAAAUGUUCCACGUGUGGGCUUUUGUAUGUACCUUAUGAAUAAGGAUCGGCUAACUCCGUGCCAGCAGCCGCGGUAAUACGGAGGAUCCGAGCGUUAUCCGGAUUUAUUGGGUUUAAAGGGUGCGUAGGUGGUCUGUUAAGUCAGUUGUGAAAGUCCGCGGCUCAACCGUAGAAUUGCAGUUGAAACUGGCAGUCUUGAGUGCAGGAGAGGUAGGCGGAAUGCGUGGUGUAGCGGUGAAAUGCUUAGAUAUCACGAAGAACUCCGAUUGCGAAGGCAGCUCACUGGACUGCAACUGACGCUGAGGCACGAAAGCGUGGGUAUCAAACAGGAUUAGAUACCCCAGUAGUC